CUUUAAGAACUGUAACACUCACGGCUAGGAUCCGCAGCUUCAUUCUUGAAGUCCGCGAGACCAAGAACCCACCGGAAGGAAUAAAUUCUGAACGCACUAGUGCAGUGCCUGAAGGCAAUCAGGUACCGGCCUCUGUGAAGGAUUCUGAGAUGAAGACAGUCCUCACACCCCUGUGAAGAUGAGUGAGUUCACCAAGCACAGCCACGCAAGGUGUAGGGGCCUGGAGCCCUGGGAAAGCCUGACUGUGGGG
rnacentral:lncRNA from 10 species